rnacentral:tRNA from 1 species
UCCGAAGUAGCUCAGUCGGUUAGAGCGGGUGGCUGUUAACCACUAGGUCGUAGGUUCGAAUCCUACCUUCGGAG